CAAAGCUUUUCAAAAUAUAUAUUUCAUUUACGACGAUGAAGGCUCUACUGGCUUUCUUUCUUAUUUUUUAUUUACAUAUCCAGGGUGCAACUGCAAACGAAAAAUAUGAGGUAUGUUUUGUAAAUUCUAUAUUUGUAUCUGUUUACAAAUUCCUUGACCUCUGUGCACAGGGUUGAGGCAACCUAUAAAAACUUUGAGCCUCUAUCCAGGUCUUUGGUCUGCAUCACGGGAAUGUCUGCUGAUCUUUAUGAGUGGCAAAUAUUCCGCAAGCCAAGACUGAGAGGCCAUGUUCGGGACCUUUCUUCAGCGAGUGUCUGAGAGAAUGCUAAAAGGUGCAGCACCAACAGCUGAAAUGAGGAGGGGUCUGGAGAUGGAGGCAGCAAUGGAGUAUGCCAAGAUAAAAAAUAUCAGAAGUCCCCUUGGAUCCCCCAUAGUAUUUGUUGCAGAGGUAUGUGUGUCAGACACAGCAGUGUUGCUGGUGCCCAAAUUCUUCUCCGACUAUGACGCUGUCUUUGUGAUUUUGUCCACGGCUCAUCUAAUCAUAUAAAAGCCACAGCUACAAAGACAGGACAGAACUGUCUUUUCUUCAACAGCCCAGCAGGAAUGUUAAAAACAUACUUUUUAUUAUUGCAUAAAUAUAUGUGAUAUAUAAGUUGAUAUUUGCAUGUUUAUUUUGAUGUUUUAAACACCUAAACAUGCAAUAAAUAUCAUCUGACAUUACAAGAAAAAAAUUGUAUUAUUUAUUCAGGAUACAUUUCUAAACAAAUGUACUUGUAAUUUUUUGGACCUUAACCCAUCAGUCUGUCUUAUCAGCUACUUAGUUUGCUGUCAAUAAAAUUUUCCAUUCUUUCA